rnacentral:pre_miRNA from 1 species
AGUUCACUUGGAUAUUGGCCUGGUUCACUCAGACACCGCCUGAAGAUGUCGUUUUUUUGCAGUCAAAGACUCGAUGGGAGAGGCUUGCUCUCUCCGUUUCUUGGUCUCUGAUUGAGCCGUGCCAAUAUCUCAGUGCUCUUC